GUGCUCACUUUGGCAGCACAUAUACCGAAGUUGGAAUGAUACAGAGAAUAUAAGUAUGGUCUCUGGGCAAGGAUGACACGCACAUUCAUGAAACAGUCCACAUUUUU
ensembl:snRNA U6 U6 spliceosomal RNA